UACGUAGGGGGCGAGCGUUGUCCGGAUUCAUUGGGCGUAAAGCGCUUUAAGGCGGUUCGCUAAGUCGCGUGUGAAACCCCCAGGCUCAACCUGGGGACGCCACUCGAUACUGCUGUGACUUGAGUCCGGUAGGGGAGCGUGGAAUUCCUGGUGUAGCGGUGAAAUGCGCAGAUAUCAGGAGGAACACCAGCGGCGAAGGCGGCGCUCUGGGCCGGUACUGACACUGAGGAGCGAAAGCUAGGGGAGCAAACGGG
rnacentral:rRNA from 1 species